rnacentral:rRNA from 1 species
GAUGAACGCUGGCGGCGUGCCUAAUACAUGCAAGUCGAGCGAACGGACGAGAAGCUUGCUUUUCUGAUGUUAGCGGCGGACGGGUGCGUAACACGUGGAUAACCUACCUAUAAGACUGGGAUAACUUCGGGAAACCGGAGCUAAUACCGGAUAAUAUUUUGAACCGCAUGGUUCAAAAGUGAAAGACGGUCUUGCUGUCACUUAUAGAUGGAUCCGCGCUGCAUUAGCUAGUUGGUAAGGUAACGGCUUACCAAGGCAACGAUGCAUAGCCGACCUGAGAGGGUGAUCGGCCACACUGGAACUGAGACACGGUCCAGACUCCUACGGGAGGCAGCAGUAGGGAAUCUUCCGCAAUGGGCGAAAGCCUGACGGAGCAACGCCGCGUGAGUGAUGAAGGUCUUCGGAUCGUAAAACUCUGUUAUUAGGGAAGAACAUAUGUGUAAGUAACUGUGCACAUCUUGACGGUACCUAAUCAGAAAGCCACGGCUAACUACGUG